rnacentral:rRNA from 1 species
GUGUUCCUACGGGAGGCAGCAGUGAGGAAUAUUGGUCAAUGGGAGAGAUCCUGAACCAGCCAAGCCGCGUGAGGGAAGACGGCCCUAUGGGUUGUAAACCUCUUUUGUCGGAGAACAAAACCCGGGACGUGUCCCGGACUGCGUGUAUCCGAAGAAAAAGCAUCGGCUAACUCCGUGCCAGCAGCCGCGGUAAUGCGGAGGAUGCGAGCGUUAUCCGGAUUUAUUGGGUUUAAAGGGUGCGUAGGCGGUCCGUUAAGUCAGCGGUAAAAUUGCGGGGUUGA